rnacentral:lncRNA from 1 species
AGUAGCAUUUGCUUAUGUAAGUACAUUUGUAUCAUUCUAUAGUAAGAAUAAAACACAAAGUUGUUAGUUUUCAACAAUAGAAUCUUCGGUCAGGCAAUUUUAACAAACUGAAGAUUCCACGCUUCCAGUCAGAUGUGUUACGUCACUUAAUUUCAUUCUUUGUUUUACACGAGGGAUUGAGACAGGUGGUUGAUCAAUGGUUACAUUAUUACAUUGAUAUAAAGUUGUACAAUGAAAAGUAUUAAUUUAAUGUGCAGAACCAACUUUAUGUAAUUCUAAAAUGUUUCAUAUUUCCAGUUCGGUUCAUGUACAUUUAACAACUAGUAAUCUUUAAAACAAAACAUGCGAUAUCGUUACAGAAUCUAUCGUAUUGAAAAUAAUCCACAAUAUCUAAAUAAAUGUAUUCAAAUUUCUGAAUACCAAGUUCUUGCUAUUACUCUUUACAGUCGUUUGCAAUUAUCUUUUUCUUUUUCAAAACGAGGACACAUGAUUUCUUCAAACGAUUUGAUAUCAUACAUUCAUGACUAAACCAGAUUCGUUUAUCUUUUGUAGAGCGUAGCAGAAUACUAAAAAAAGAACAAAGAUUUCUGUUUGUUUAGUCGCUUGUCUUUUGUUAAUGUCUGUUGGAGGUAAGAAACAAACAAGUCAACCGCUUUUAGUCUUUGUGUAUAACUGUUGUUUGUUGAAAUGAGUUGUAUUGCUCUUUCGUGAGUUUCUGUGUUGGCAGGUAUCCUUUCUUGUUAUUACAGUUGAAAUGUUAGAAAUAUAGAUCUUUUUGCUAUUAGGUAAUGUCCACCUGCAUAAUAUGUUGCUGCUAAGUAAGUUUUGUCAAAUUUUAUAAAAAUCAUUAUGGAUUAUACGUUGAUCUAUAAAUGUCUGUAGUAUUAUUGUAUGUUUGAUCGCUGUUCAAUUGACAUAUGGCCAUCAUCCCCAUGUAUGUACAUCUAAAUAUUGCUUUUUUCCCCUCUUAAUAAGAGAUGAGAUGAGAGGCACACCAGACAUAACAUUAGGGAACUGCUAUUAUAACCUCGAUCCGUGUUUCCUAAAAAUCUUUUAUACUAAUGAAAUGAUGAUAUAUCAUAGCAACGAUUGUUUUUGGUUGUUUAUAAAUGAUUUGUGUACGUAUUUUGAAUCUUAAAUGCAUUAUGUUAGCAAAACAUUUCACUACACUUGAUGAAAUAAAAUACACUAUAUAUAAAACUUAUGUGCGAAACAAUGUCUGUCAACAUAAUUGUGUUUGCAUUGUACUUUAAAAAAAAUAUCAGUUUUCUCGUAUGUUGGAAUACAUCUUAACGGUUCAGAAUAUACAUUUGUUUUCCAUUGGAGUCAACAUGGCAAAUGACGAAAUGCUGGAAGACAAUGAACUCAUUCAUGAGUAAGUUUGGUUUAAUUCCUUAUAGAUUCCAUAGAUUUGAUUUGUAUAAGAGUCGGCUAUCAUUGAAGUAGUGAGUUGGUUCAGUAAUAAUAAAUAACUAAAUAUCAAAGGUCGAUGUCUCUAGGUAAAUAUUUUUAUCAAGAAUAUGAAGUUUUUAAGCAACAUUGGUUGUAUUAUAUGAUUUUAGUAUAUUAUUAUACUGUAAAAAGCAAACACAACACAUAAGGGUAUCAAUAAUGUAUCACAUACGGAAAUACUUAGAUAUGCAACGCUGAUGUAUAUUGCAGGAAAAAUCGCAUUGGAAAAAAAUCAAAUGAAAAGAAAUCUAUAGUUUUACUUCAGUAUAAGUGUAAAAGUAUCUAAAAAAAAAUGGAAAGUUUCAAUCGAAAGCAAAACCUUAAAAGAAAACAUCAGAUCAUAUUUGGACAAAAACAAAAAAGUAUAAAGUUGUCUAUAAAGCACAAAUAUAGAAUAAAAAACAUGUAAGCUUCGGAAACAGUUUUUUUGUUUAGACAGCCAAUUUUUCGAUUAUCUUCAGUAAACAAAUUUUCCAACCACUGAAUCAGAGGCUCCCGACUAGGAACCGGUACAUACAUAGUGUGGCGGCUGUAAACAUGACAGCAGGCGCGGGUUUACCAAUUGAAUUGACCAGUACAUUUUCGUCAAUAAUUUAUACAUGUCUAUAUAUGCUAUGAACUUUAUAAGAGGGACAGUUGAUAAUGUUGUCUCUUAACGACUCUUAAGAUAUCAAUAAUGUCCAUUCGCCUAUGCCCUGCGAUUAGUUCUGGAUAUCAUUCUGAUCAUCUGAACCUCUAUCAAAAAAAAUAUCAAUAAAGAUGUAAGACACUGAUUUGAAUUAACCAGCAAUUCAAAUAUUGGUAUUAGUACUUGAUUUUGUAAACUAAUUACAUGAUAGCAAUAUAAAACCAUACUUCCGGAAAUUUAUGAAUGUUCAAAUAUUACUCAAUCUAACCCUCGAAAUGGAUGCUUAUAUGUGUUUUUUUCUACAAAUAUUAACUAUCAGUGUUGUCUUGUUUUAGUCGUGUGAAGAGAGCUCCAUGUUGGCCUCGAGGAUGUUUUCGUGAUCGUGACUGCUGUUAUGGAUAUCAAUGCUCUUAUAGAAAAUGCAUGCGCAAAAGGGGCUAGUGAGUUUAGCCAUCCAUCAUUUGCAAGUUCUGAAGAUUCCAGAAAAUCGUGUUAUUUAAAAUGUUGGACUUGUGUAAAUGAUCAGCGAUAAUUAAAAUUAUUCAGAUUUAUUUUCUUUGGUAUUUUUCUUACUUUAUUGUAACAAGUUGAAUGAUACCUAAAACACAAUUUCACUAACCUUCAAGGCAACGUAUGAUUCGAGUCAAUAACAUGGCUUUCAACAUUUAAUAAAUAAAUGAUGCAAUCGCAUCUAAGCAAACUUACUAAUAAU